GCCAGGCACGGUAGUGCGUGUCUGUAGUCCCAGCUACUCGGGAGGCUGAGGUAUGAGGAUCGUUUGAGCCCAGGAGUUCUGGACUGCAGUGAGCUAUGCCAAUUGGGUGUCCGCACUAAGUUCGGCAUCAAUAUGGUGACCUCCUGGGAGCGGGGGACCACUAGGUUGCCUAAGGAGGGGUGAACUGGCCCAGGUCGGAAACGGAGCAGGUCAAAACUCCUGUGCUGAUCAGUAGUGGGAUUGCGCCUGUGAAUAGCCACUGCACUCCAGCCUGGGCACCAUAGUGAGACCCCGUCUCU
rnacentral:SRP_RNA from 1 species